rnacentral:lncRNA from 1 species
CUGCGUGCCGGCUGCCCUCGCUCUCACUGGCAGGUUCUUCCCCGAUGUUAAAACCCACUUCUUCAGGCACCCAAAGUAGACUGAAGACCAGCAGUUCUCCAAGAAUCCUCCUGGCCUUUAGCACCAAAUUGGAACUUCCAAAGUAUCCAGCAUUGAGGAUUGUCAGUGUGAGACAGCCACUGUUGGACGACAAGAGCCACGCUAUGAACUGCCCGAGAUCGCUAAGGACUCCCGGCUCUCAGGCUUUGGGACUCAGGCUGAAUUCUUCUACUGUUCUCCAGUUCUGCAGACAAUAAGCCAUGGGCAUCUCAGUUUUCAUAGCCACUGAAUCCUAUGCUUAUGGAGAGACGUCAUGUCUGUGAAGGUACCUAGUAGCUAGUAUCUUCUCAUGGACUUGAUGGGAUCCUACAGGAAACAGAAUUCCAGUGUCAGUGUCCCUUCCUCUGCUCUUGGACUCUAGGGCAAACCAAGAGUCUAAUGCAGCUCCUGUCCUGCAGAGGUGAUGAACACCAUGCACAAGGUCACAGAGACUCUGCCCACAUCAUCUUGGUUAUCAAACUCAAGUAGAACUAAUACUGCUCGAAGACAAAUGUCUUUAAAGUCCCACUGUCCAGUUACAAAUAAACAGAGGAAGGAGAGAGAUGGGGAGGUGGUACAGAGUGCCUUGGGGACAGAAGGAAGAAAAUACCCAGAGCAUGCACAAAGCCAAGUGGUGACGAACUCUGGAGGACUUAUCUCAUCCAAGAGAGAGAUAAGAGUGGCUGGAGGAAACCGGGCUUGGGAGACACCCCAGUCUCUAAAGUGCUGGCCCCACAAGCAUGAGGACCUGAGUUUGAUCGCCAAAAUAUACACUUUAAAAGUCAAGUUUAGCAGUGUGCACUUGUAAUUCCAGUACUGGGAAGGCUAAGACAGGCCGCUACUGGGUUUCACCAGACAGACAGCCUAGCCUACUAGGCAAGGUGCAGACCAACAAGACAGACCAUCCUGUGAAACAAGUGGGUGGCUCCUAAGGAAUGGUGCACACAUGGCGCAUGGAGUGAUGGAGUGAGUUCUCAGCCAGAAGGGAAAAAAAAUCCAAAGGGAAGCCCCAGAGAAUACAGCAGCUGAAGAAAAAGCAAAGCAAAGCCUGAAAUGUGCUCACAGCAGCCUGAAGCAAUUUAAGAGAGAAUGGGGAGAGGGCUUGCCGGAGAUCUAGGCAUGGAAAUUAUUUCCCCCUUUUAAUGCAGAUGGAAGAAAAUGAGAAAGCUGCACUCCCAAGAGGAAAACCAACCAAAAGGAAAAGUCUCCUAGCAUUCCCAGCAAGACGUGCCUGUGUGUGUACAAACAACUUGCAAAGGACCACAGCAACUCUGGAUAACGCUGGUGUUUCCUCCUCAUCUGCCUUUCAGCUCCUCCUCUUACCAGUCUGCACUACAUGCAGAAACCCUCUGUGCAUGUCUAAGGUGGUACACACAUAGGAACGGUUCAUGCAGAUGCCACACUCUGCUCUGCACCCUGCUCUCUGAACAUCUGGAGUGUUUCCAGUGGCCUGCUAUAGCAAUACUAAAGUCAAUGCUAACAUCAGUAUCUGGGAUAUAUUUCCAAGGCCCCUUUAUAUCAGUGAGUUGAGGCUAGAACAUAGGACAUAUCUGUAAUGGUCAGUUAUCUAGGCCAACUCCUGGAAGAAAAUAGGAAGUGUGUUCAGAAUCCCCUCAUGCAGAAUUUUGACCUUUCCAAUUCUGAGCAUAGCAUUGGAGUGGACCUGGCACUCUCUAAGCCUCCUCCAGGAGAGGUGACUUUCAAAGAUGCCUUCACUGGGUCAUGAAGAAAAGAUGAUUCAUCUUUACAAAACAAAAUCAAAAUUCCUCUUUCCUCUCCGCAAAUGAUUUAGGAAACAAAAUUGGAGACUUGGAAAGUGUCCAUCACAAAGCGGCUAAACCCAGAAUGACUGCGGAACCCCGGAGUGGGAGUCCGAGUCGGACAUGCCGAGAGCUGGACCACCGUUGUGGCUGGAAAUCUGAGUGGGUGUCAGAGAGGAGAUGUGAACUUCUGCAACAUGCCGAAUUGCUAAAAAUUCCUGCGACAUUUCCUUCCCCCAAUAAACUGUCAUGCAGCAAAGCUGUUUCUGACAGGAUUGAAGUUCCGGGAAAGCAAUAUGGAGACCUUCACCCCGCAGGUGCACGUGGUUCCCAACGUGGGUCCCUGAGGAUGGUCUCCCGCGGCAGUUUAGGUGUGGCUGAGGUUGGCAUAGUCAGAAAGGA